UACGUAGGUGGCAAGCGUUGUCCGGGAUUAUUGGGCGUAAAGCGCGCGCAGGCGGUUCCUUAAGUCUGAUGUGAAAGCCCACGGCUCAACCGUGGAGGGUCACUGGAAACUGGGGAACUUGAGUGCAGAAGAGAAGAGCGGAAUUCCACGUGUAGCGGUGAAAUGCGUAGAGAUGUGGAGGAACACCAGUGGCGAAGGCGGCUCCUUGGUCUGUAACUGACGCUGAGGUGCGAAAGCGUGGGGAGCAUACAGG
rnacentral:misc_RNA from 1 species